UACGGAGGGUGCAAGCGUUAUCCGGAUUCACUGGGUUUAAAGGGUGCGUAGGUGGGUUGGUAAGUCAGUGGUGAAAUCCCCGAGCUUAACUUGGGAACUGCCAUUGAUACUAUAUAUCUUGAAUGUCGUGGAGGUUAGCGGAAUAUGUCAUGUAGCGGUGAAAUGCUUAGAUAUGACAUAGAACACCCAUUGCGAAGGCAGCUAACUACGCGAAUAUUGACGCUGAGGCACGAAAGCGUGGGGAUCAAACAGG
rnacentral:rRNA from 1 species